rnacentral:rRNA from 1 species
UACGUAGGGUGCGAGCGUUAAUCGGAAUUACUGGGCGUAAAGCGUGCGCAGGCGGUUUUGUAAGACAGAUGUGAAAUCCCCGGGCUCAACCUGGGAAUUGCAUCUGUGACUGCAUAGCUAGAGUACGGUAGAGGGGGAUGGAAUUCCGCGUGUAGCAGUGAAAUGCGUAGAUAUGCGGAGGAACACCGAUGGCGAAGGCAAUCCCCUGGACCUGUACUGACGCUCAUGCACGAAAGCGUGGGGAGCAAACAGG